UGCACGCGAGAAUCCGAGAGGCAGCGCCCUUGCGCAAAAAAACUGCCCGCCACUCGCCAGCCGUCCGGCAUCGCAGUGUUUGUCGCCAGUGCAGGGACAUCUCUCCCUUCUCCCCCCGAGCGCACACUGAAUUUUGCGAGCAGAGUCGCAAUGUCCCUCCGGAACUCCUGGCCAUUCAUAUUCAUCUCAACGUUCCUUCUGGUGUGUGGCACAGUGUCAAGUCUACCCUACGUCCAUGGAGGGCAGCAGCAGCAGCAAGGCUGCUGUAAGCUGCUGCCCCCGUUGCUGCCCCCGCUGCUGCCCCGUACCGUGCAGGCUCUGUGCCGGGAGCUCUCCUUUUUGCUCUCUCCAGGGCACUGCCGGCGCUCGCCAAGGGCAGCCCGGUUCGGAAAACGCGGUCAGCCGCACUUCCCAAGAUUUGGAUGAAGAUGGGACUCCUCCGCACACUGUCCUGGGUACUCACACGGCUUAGAAAAUCAAAAUACUCGGGACCACUGCGUCACUCUUACAAUGCGUUUUUUUGGAGGGGAGAACAAAUACGUACAUGUGAGUCUAUUGAUAAUGACUUUAUUUUUAUAGUUGGUACAGUCAGUAAAGUCUGUCCAAUGGCAGUGUGAUUUUAAGACAUCUGAUAUGGCAUCUAGCACUUCAUAAGUGGACUGCUCCUGUAAAUAUUACAAAUAAAAACCUGGAAAAUAAAUUCACCAACUUGGCAUUCGUGGCCAUAUCGAGCAUGUUAGAAGAGCUGUCGCAAGUUGAUUGUUGCGUGGUGACAUAUCUGAAUAAAAUCCUUUGAACGUCCGGUUGACGUGUUAAGAACAAUUACAACAAAAUUAACUUGUUUUUUUUCUUUCUUUCUUACGUAGAUAUAUUUUCAUUUGAAAAUGUGUCGGGCAUGGCUGACUGCAAACGUCUUAAUAAAGCAUUGCAAGUGCAACACAAGUUUGAAAUUGGAAACCUCAAGCUUCGACUGUCCCAAGAAGGGUAUUAUUGCAGCUUUCAUCAGGGGAAUGAACAAUAUAUAAAGUAACAAUAAAUAAUGUGUUUGUAUAGUGGCCCCUGUUUAAAAAAAAAUUGUCUUAUUAAAGAAUAUACUUGGCUUGAGAAUGAAAUUGCCUCUGAUGAUGCCAAUGGUGAUGCCAAUGACGUUGAUGAUUAUCUCCGCCGCCUGCGUUUUGGGAUUACCUUCACUUGCGAGUUUAUCCAAGAUCAAUGUGAUUGGCCAUCGAUGCCUUAAUAGGCAAACAAACGGAGCACAUUUGUCAACAGCACUGCCUUUAAAGAAGACGCAAAUAAUAAAAUGUCUCGAUAAAUACAUGUGUACCAUCUCAAAAGGCAGUGACCAGGUCGAGUGGAGGAGGCAUCCGAGAAUGGUGACCUGAUUAAGGAUGUCCCGCUGCCUGCCGUGUGGAGCAGCCACAGCUGAUGUUAGGAUGAGGAAAUCUCUUGACAGUGCCAAUGCCCUCUCCUCGUUGCGCUCGCAAUGCUCCUCGCAACCAAUCGGCGCUUGUUUGUAAACACACGUGUACAUGUGGUUUAAACAAAAAAAAACAACCCUACCACAAGCCCAUGCGUUCAUUGCCAUUUUAAGGAUCGAGAGUUGAUGAUGUGUUGUCUCUCUCUCUGUUGACCAAGCAGGCAUAGGCAGAGUUUGACUUCUAUAGUUGGGGGGGGGGGGGCACCGCCCGUGCCCCCCCCUCCCCUCCAAACUCCGCCCUAGCAAACAGACAGACCGCAUCGCGACGUGAUGCUGCACUCCCGCUACUUUUCAUUUUACUGCAAUGUUCAGACUUUGCCCAGGCAACGUCCACCAUAAAAGCUCAAGAAACGUUUUGUUAAAAAAAAAAAAAUCUGUUUUUUAUUCGUGUCACGGAGCGUAAAGCGGGGUUAUUCCACGCCAAACCAAUCAAAAACGAGGGUUAAAUUGACCUCGUCUUCAUAGAUGUAUUUUUGUGAUACUUGAGUCUGAGUUUUGUGUGUUGGUGGCAGGGUUACCACCCAAACGUGAGGGCAAUCUGACCUCCUUGUUCCCCAGAUACAGGCCAUCAUCAAUGUUUCACCUGUGCAACUUCGCUCGAUGGCCUCGUAGGCAUUGUAAACCUACCUGGCGGUUCACAUAGUCUGGUGUCAUUUUUGCAUGAAGCUGUGUGAGGAACGAGGAUCAUAACUCCCAAAGUAAUGGAGUGUCACAUUUUAAAACUUAAGAGAGAUUAUUGCCAUGUGGUAUACGCUAUGUUUGCAUUUUGAAGAAAAUCUGAGAUAGUCUUUUGAGCACAUUUUUGCCUACCAUUCUCUUUGUUGUUGAUAGAAUGAGAAUGAUGCAUAUAUGAUGAACUUCUUUCGCACAGUACGUAGCCAACCGCGAUAAUCGGAGGUGCGAUAAUGCUAAACAUAGCGACGGAUCAACAGCUUUAAAAGGACACCAGACUCACUUGACUUAAUCAACCAUGAGGGAAGAUACAAUCCAUGCAAGGUCACCAAGUUGCUUUUGUGAGGUCAAGUUUCCGUGACCUAUAUCUGGGGAACGGCAGUUCGGAUUGACCUAACGUAUGGGUCGUAGCCUUCUUUGCCAGAUCCAAAGCUGCCCACUAUAUUAAACCAAAAUUGGGGUUUUGGUCAAAUAUAUAUUCUUGAUUAAUUUUGCACGGAAUAACCCAACAGAGAGAAGACAAAGCUCACGAUAGCGGGAAGGAUACUGUGCAUCUCAAAAAUGUAAACAAUUCAGAAAUGUAAUCGUAUGCUGAUAUGACCUUUAAAGUUAUUAAAACGGCGAGAAUAAAUACGGUUAACUUCUGAAACGAAUAAAGGCAAAGCAUCCGUUGUCAUGUACGGGGACCGUAUGAGUCCACAAUAUUUGUGCUGCGAUGGCCCAAAAAUCCAUGCCCAGGGGCAUGGGUUUGAAUCCACAGUUUGCUGUCCAGCAAAUUGAUGUGAACUGGUGAUGGGGCAAUCACAAGGGAUGUUACGGAACGAAAAUAAAAAAAACCCGCAUGUGAUUGUGAAAAUUGUGAUUAAUUUGCUUGCUUUCAGAUUAUACGUUAUUAAAAGGCAUGUGACAAUUCGUGCAUUUGUAGAUUAAACGUUGAUUAUUACGCUUA